UACGUAGGGGGCGAGCGUUGUCCGGAUUUAUUGGGCGUAAAGAGCUCGUAGGCGGUUCGAUAAGUCGGACGUGAAAUCUCCACGCUCAACGUGGAGGGGCCGUUCGAUACUGUCGUGACUCGAGUCCGGAAGAGGCGAGUGGAAUUCCCGGUGUAGCGGUGAAAUGCGCAGAUAUCGGGAGGAACACCAAUGGCGAAGGCAGCUCGCUGGGACGUGACUGACGCUGAGACGCGAAAGCGUGGGGAGCAAACAGG
rnacentral:rRNA from 1 species